rnacentral:rRNA from 1 species
AUUGAACGCUGGCGGCAGGCCUAACACAUGCAAGUCGAACGAGAGGCGGACGGGUGAGUAAUGUCUGGGCAACUGCCCGACGGAGGGGGAUAACGACGGUAAACGGUAGCUACUACCGCAAACCAUCGGAUGUGCCCAGAUGGGAUUAGCUAGUCGGUGGGGUAACGGCUCACCUAGGCGACGAUCCCUAGCUGGCCUGAGAGGGUGACCAGCCACACUGGGACUGAGACACGGUCCAGACUCCUACGGGAGGCAGCAGUGGGGAAUAUUGCACAAUGGGCGCAAGCCUGAUGCAGCCAUGCCGCGUGUAUGAAGAAGGCCUUCGGGUUGUAAAGUACUUUCAGCGGGGAGGCGUUACUCAAAGAGGAAGCACCGGCUAACUCCGUGCCAGCAGCCGCGGUAAUUC